CCUACGGGAGGCAGCAGUGGGGAAUAUUGGACAAUGGGGGCAACCCUGAUCCAGCAAUUCUGUGUGCACGAAGAAGGUUUUCGGAUUGUAAAGUGCUUUCAGCAGGGAAGAAGGAAGUGACGGUACCUGCAGAAGAAGCGACGGCUAAAUACGUGCCAGCAGCCGCGGUAAUACGUAUGUCGCGAGCGUUAUCCGGAAUUAUUGGGCAUAAAGGGCAUCUAGGCGGCCUAACAAGUCAGGGGUGAAAACCUGCGGCUCAACCGCAGGCCUGCCUUUGAAACUGUAAGGCUGGAGUACCGGAGAGGUGGACGGAACUGCACGAGUAGAGGUGAAAUUCGUAGAUAUGUGCAGGAAUGCCGAUGAUGAAGAUAGUCCACUGGACGGAAACUGACGCUGAAGUGCGAAAGCCGGGGGAGCGAACAGGAUUAGAUACCCUAGUAGUC
rnacentral:rRNA from 1 species